UACGUAAAAGACACAUUUUGAAGUGCGGCACACUUUGAGAAAAAAACUUUCUGUCUGAAGCAAAUGCUGGAAGUCCAAGAUGGUGGUUUGGAACAUCCAAGAGGACAGGACACCUGAUCCACGCUCUCUUCCCUUGGUAAAGAGGAAUUUGAAAUCUAAAUCAAUCAUUUGAUCAAACAAAAAAAGUACUUGGGCCUUAGAGGCAGCGGUUGGGGAAGCGAAGAGAAUAGGAAGACUAGGAACGAAGUAACUCAAAUAGGAUUUGAGGAACGAUGUAACUCGACUGUAAGGAAAGGACAAUUAUUCAGCAAAAUAGAGUGGAGGGGGUUCCAUAUUCAUGAAAAGCCGGGGUUGAACCGGAAC
rnacentral:lncRNA from 1 species